CCGCAUUUUAGUUCUACGACUUUGAAACGUGUUGCCUUCCACGUUCUCCCUGGAAAGAAGCAGGCUAUCAUUAAUGACAGAAUAGAAAACAAAAGACCCUUAAUUUGGCCAUGUAUGAAGCUAUUUCAGAAAUGGGUCCUGCUCUGUUAAGCCUCCGGACAACAGCCACCCCUGCCAACCUCCUGACUGCAAACUCAGGGCGCUGGUGCCACCAGCAGUGAAUAACAGAAUGAGACAGGAGAAAAGGGCUCAAGGCUCCUCAACAGGUCCUUCUUAUUUUUAUUUUGUAGCUGCCCCAAAGCCUUGCAGCCAGCCCAGCUGCACCAGGCACCUCACAGCCUCUUCAGAAGAUGUUUGCUUUGGCUGCAGCAGGCUUUGGCUGCAGCAGGCUUUGGCUGCGGACAUAUCCAGGAUGACUGCCCUGUGGCCCUUCUGGGUGACCCUGCCCCUCUGGAGCCCUUCUCAGUCAGGUGCACAAAGGGCCCUUUCUCUACCUGUGGCCACCUAUAUAAACUACCUCCCCAUACCCUUAGCAGGUUCAGUCUUCUGCUGUUCCCCCUUGCACUGCAGUAUAAGUCCUAAUAGAGCCUCUUCUGCAUGGCAUAUUUUUGCAUACUUGUGAUUUCUAUUUUGAGCAGUGCUUGGUGAGCUGGUAACACUAAGAGCUGGUAACACCAAAUGCCUCUGAUACUGCAAGUGGCCAGAGCCCAGAACGGGUAAGUCUAAAGGCUGCUGGUGCUGAAAGUGGCCAGCAGCUGAGGCUCUUAGUACUAAAGGCAGCUCACAGCCAGAGCAUUGGAGAGCGGCAGAGUAUUGCAGCACCAGCCAUCUCUGGUCUCUGGAAGAAUUCCCAAGACCUGCUGGUAGUUGUAGCCACUAGCAUUCAUAGCUCAGGGCAGUGAACACUAAAAGAGCUACACUGUGCCAAUUAGUGACUUCUGUAUGAAUUGAUCAAGAACCCACAGCCAUUUGUAACAUCUCAGAAGCCUGUACAGGGUCCCUGCCCUUUAGAGGGCCCUGAAGAAGAAGGCAGCCAAUGGUGAUGGUUCUAGUGGUUCAAGAAUUGGCCCAGGCCUGAUUUCUAUCUUAAGAAUCCACAAUAGUCAGUGACAGUAUGAGGAUGAAUGGGGAACAGGUAGGCAGGUGUCCUAGGCAAGGUCUGGAUUAAAGUGGCUUAUAAUUUAUAUCAUAUACCUGGUGGUCAUUUCCUUGAUUCCUGAAUGUAUAAUUGGGGUUGAUGCACUUAGAACAAGUGUAAUACCCACAUGAAGUCCUUGGUUUGUGGGAUAGGGCUGUCAGAGGGGGCAAAGCCAAGUUGAGAGCUCACCACCCCCAGUCAAGGGUGUAGACUAAAAACAACAUUCAUCCUGCAGGCAUGGCCAUUAAUGCAAUGCUGUCCUUCAGCAUCCAAAGGACUCAGGUAGUGGUUCCCGUCACAUCUCCAUUGAGCUCACCUGCUUGGUCUCAGCAGAAACAGGCACAACCUGGCAGUUGGAUGUGACUACCAUAUAUGUGACCAUACAGCCCCGCUGGCAACUGCCUUGCCAGAUGUGGGGUCUGCUGGAGAAGAGGGGCCCCGCUGCAGAUACUGAGCACACAAACACCCAUCAGGCAGAAGAUGCAUUCUCUUCUAAUCCAGUUCUUUUUUUUUGGUACCAGGGAUUGAACUCAGGACCUUGCGGUUGCAACACAGGCGGCAGCACCGCUGAGCUAAAUCCCCAGCCUUCUUCUAAUCCAGCUGGGAGAGGAAGACGCAACAGCUCACAUGGGGUGAACUGGGCACUAGUAUAAUUUGCAGCUUUGCCCAGGAUUAUAACGAAUUUCCUGUCCUCUUUCAUAUUAUAGUUUGAAGAGAUCCAGACUCUUAAUGUCUGCAGGACACAACAAUAUUGUGCUGUAAGGGCCAGUGCAGUGGCCUGGCUCAUCCUUGAAAGCAGGCUUGACACUCACCUCUGCAUCUCAGCUGACAGCCACGGAGCAGUGCUUGCUUCACAACAGAUUGAUGAGGCUGGGACUGCCUAGCUCGGGAGAUCCGUGCCCAAGACCAGACAGCCUCAGUCCUCAUCACUGCUGCCGCCGCCCAGGGACUUCAUGGUGCUGACCGGAGGGUUAACAACAGAAGGUCCCCAGAUGCCCCAGCCUGACAGUGAUGAUUCCAAGGCGGAAGAAGGGAGGGCUGUGCGGACGGCCUGGGCCUCCCUGUAGCACCCAGCACACUGCUGUGAGGACACGGCCUUCCCCAGACCAACCCAAGCAGACAACCCUUACUGCGAGUGCCUGGGAGCCCACGUGCAGCGCAUCAGUGUACAACCCUGCCACCGCGGCGCCCUUCUCCCGCUAGCUGAACACCCCAUUUACCUGGAGGAGACUCCUCUGGAAUCUACCUCCCCUGCCCAGACCUCUCUGUCGGGACAUCGUCUUGUGCCAGUGUGGUUCCUAGAACCAGCUGAGAAGUACACCUAGGAGCACAGAUGGGUAGAGAUCUUUGGCCUCCUCCACAGGACAUGGAAGGGAUCCGUAUCAUGCCGUGGUCAGUCUGGUUGUCCAGUGACUGACAUCCUCGGAGAUGAGAUAAAACAGAUGCAGUUUCAUCCAUGGACAAAAUCUCAACACUUUAUUCAUCCCUUGGCAGGGAGAGGGGGGCACUGCCCAGUCAGGUGGGGUGGCUGGGAUAUGUGUUGUCUAAAUUCCAGAUAGUAUACACAGCACUGAUCAUGCAGAAACAGGAAGGGAAGCAAUAAGUUAAAAGCCACAUAAGUUAUGAAAAAAUAAUAUAUACUUUAUAUAUCUCAUCCCACUGAGGAUUUGCUCCCUUGGAAACCAAUAAAGAGCCCGAGAGAAAGCAGCAAUCAGCACCCUCUUUGGGGACAUCAGGGAUGAACAGCUGGCCCAGCUCCCUUUGGCCUGAAAGAGUUGGUGGCCCAUCAGCACUGCCAAGGCCUUAGCCCACCC
rnacentral:lncRNA from 1 species